rnacentral:tRNA from 1 species
GGGGAUGUAGCUCAGUGAUAGAGCACUUGCCUAGCAUGUGAUCCCCAGUACCACAAAGAAAAAAAAGUUAAAAAAAAAAAAAGUCAAAAAUAGUGGCACGCACCUGUACUUAUGAAUCUGGGAGGCUGAGGCAGGUGGUCCCAAGUUCAAGGCUAGCCUUGGCAACUUAG